UACGUAGGGCGCAAGCGUUGUCCGGAAUUAUUGGGCGUAAAGAGCUCGUAGGCGGUCUGUUGCGUCGGAAGUGAAAACCCGGGGCUUAACCCCGGGCCUGCUUUCGAUACGGGCAGACUAGAGUGUGGUAGGGGAGACUGGAAUUCCUGGUGUAGCGGUGAAAUGCGCAGAUAUCAGGAGGAACACCGGUGGCGAAGGCGGGUCUCUGGGCCACUACUGACGCUGAGGAGCGAAAGCGUGGGGAGCGAACAGG
rnacentral:rRNA from 1 species